GUAGGUGGCAAGCGUUGUCCGGAAUUAUUGGGCGUAAAGCGCGCGCAGGCGGUUCUUUAAGUCUGAUGUGAAAGCCCACGGGCUCAACCGUGGAGGGUCAUUGGGAACUGGAGAACUUGAGUACAGAAGAGGAAAGCGGAAUUCCACGUGUAGCGGUGAAAUGCGUAGAGAUGUGGAGGAACACCAGUGGCGAAGGCGGCUUUCUGGUCUGUAACUGACGCUGAGGCGCGAAAGCGUGGGGAGCAAACAGGAUUAGAUACCCUGGUAGUCCACGCCGUAAACGAUGAGUGCUAAGUGUUAGGGGGUUUCCGCCCCUUAGUGCUGCAGCUAACGCAUUAAGCACUCCGCCUGGGGAGUACGGCCGCAAGGCUG
rnacentral:rRNA from 1 species